GGAUUUGCUGCUGGGGGACACGUUUUGCAAGUAUUAAAAGAAGAAGUGUUGGACAACAUACUUCACAGGGUAUUUCUCCAAAGGACCUCUCAUGAUCGUUGAAGGCAUUAUGAAGCCCUGCAGGUGGCUGGAGAGGUGAGGCAGGCAGUACCCCCACCCCAGGAAGAGCUGAAGCACUCAGGACCAACCUCACAGGAGCUAGGAAACUCCCAGGGGGAUAAUCACU
rnacentral:lncRNA from 12 species